CAUAGCUGAGUAGCCAAGUCUGGACGGGAUAAACGCUGAAGGCAUCUAAGCGUGAAGCCCCCCUCAAGAUGAGAUAUCCCCUCCUUCAAGGAGAUAAGAUCCCUUAAAGACGAUAAGGUAGAUAGGUUCAAGGUGUAAGUGCAGUAAUGCAUUCAGCUGAUGAAUACUAAUAGAUCGAAGGUUUAUUCU
rnacentral:rRNA from 1 species